GGGAUUGCCUUAGUAACGGCGAGUGAAGCGGCAAUAGCUCAAAUUUGAAAUCUGGCUCCUUCGGGGUCCGAAUUGUAAUUUGUAGAGAGUGCUUCGGGCGAGGCUUCGGUCUAAGUCCAUUGGAACAUGGUGUCAUAGAGGGUGAGAAUCCCGUAUGCGACCGUGGCUCGAGCCCAUGUGAAGCCUCUUCGACGAGUCGAGUUGUUUGGGAAUGCAGCUCAAAAUGGGUGGUAAAUUUCAUCUAAAGCUAAAUACUGGCUGGAGACCGAUAGCGCACAAGUAGAGUGAUCGAAAGAUGAAAAGCACUUUGGAAAGAGAGUCAAACAGUACGUGAAAUUGUUGAAAGGGAAGCGCUUGCAACCAGACCUGCCCGUAGGCGAUCAGCCGCUGUUCUCAGCGGUGUACUCGUUCUGCGAUCAGGCCAGCAUCGGUUUCGGCGGUCGGAUAAAGGCCUUGGGAAUGUAGCUCCCCUUCGGGGGAGUCUUAUAGCCCUCGGUGCAAUGCGGCCAGCCGGGACCGAGGACCGCGCUUCGGCUAGGAUGCUGGCGUAAUGGUUGUAAGCGACCCGUCUUGAAACACGGACCAAGGAGUCUAACAUCUAUGCGAGUGUUUGGGUGUUAAACCCAUGCGCGGAAUGAAAGUGAACGGAGGUGAGAACCCUUAAGGGUGCAUCAUCGACCGAUCCAGAAGUCUUCGGAUGGAUUUGAGUAUGAGCAUAGCUGUUGGGACCCGAAAGGUAUAUUUAAUCCCCCCUUGAUUGUAAGAAUUAUAUGCUAACUUUUUCAAAAGAUGGUGAACUAUGCCUGAAUAGGGUGAAGCCAGANGAAACUCUGGUGGAGGCUCGCAGCGGUUCUGACGUGCAAAUCGAUCGUCAAAUUUGGGUAUAGGGGCGAAAGACUAAUCG
rnacentral:rRNA from 1 species